GUCCCCUUCGUCUAGAGGUUAGGACACCGCUCUUUCACGGCGGCAACAGGGGUUCAAAUCCCCUAGGGGACG
rnacentral:tRNA from 2 species